rnacentral:tRNA from 1 species
UGGGUAGUUAGUUCAGUGGUAGAAUAUUUGUUUUACAAGCAAAAUGUCAUUGGUUCAAGUCCAAUACUAUUCAU